rnacentral:rRNA from 1 species
AUGGCGACCGGCGCACGGGUGAGUAACACGUAUCCAACCUGCCGAUGACUCGGGGAUAGCCUUUCGAAAGAAAGAUUAAUACCCGAUGGCAUAGUUCUUCCGCAUGGUGGAACUAUUAAAGAAUUUCGGUCAUCGAUGGGGAUGCGUUCCAUUAGGUUGUUGCGGGUAACGGCCCACCUAGUCUUCGAUGGAUAGGGGUUCUGAGAGGAAGGUCCCCCACAUUGGAACUGAGACACGGUCCAA